rnacentral:misc_RNA from 1 species
GAUGAAGAACGUAGCGAAAUGCGAUACUUGGUGUGAAUUGCAGAAUCCCGUGAACCGUCGAGUCUUUGAACGCAAGUUGCGCCCGAAGCCAUCAGGUUGAGGGCACGUCUGCCUGGGCGUCACAUAUCGUUGCCCAAUGCCUAUUGCAGUGCAAUAGGAAUUUCUAGGGCGAAUGAUGGCUUCCCGUGAGCGUUGUUGCCUCGCGGUUGGUUGAAAAUCGAGUCCUUGGUAGGGUGUGCCAUGGUAGAUGGUGGUCGAGUUAGAACGAUACCGAUCAUGUGCAUGCUCCCCAAAAUAUGGCCUCUAUGACCCACACGCGUCUUUUGACGCUCAUGACGAGACCUCAGGUCAGGCGGGGCUACCCGCUGAAUUUAAGCAUAUCAAUAAGCGGAGGA